CCAACAAUCCACAUUACAAAACAUAAACUCAACUGAUGAACUUUCUAAAUUAAAAUGCUUUCCCUGAAAAAGAAUUUAAUGUCUCUCAAAUCGAAAAUGGAUUCCAAUGUAAAGAACUCCGAGAUUGGUGGUCAUUACCACAUCCUUAAGAUGGCAUCCCGCAUCGUGGAAACAGAGAAGAGAGCAAACGGAAUCACGAACUGAGCAACACCAGUGGCCAUGGAAACUAAUCCAGUGCUCUUGACAGGUGCCGCUUUUGGUGGAGGAGGUAGCUUCUCUACUUUAACAGCGAGCUUCAUGCCUCCAUAACAGCCACCCUUUCCAUCGAGAAGAUAGUAGUGUUUGGUCACGUUGAGAGUGACAAUGUCUCUCCCAGCUCCACGUGUCCAGUUUACGAGAGGAUGGUCGGCGUUACAGUUUUCGUAGUCGGUCUUGUUAACUUCAAGAAUGUUGUGUUGGUUCCUGUCGAACACGAAAUCUAACAAAGAGACCCCCAAAACAAGAUUAGUUAUUAGAACAGAAUAAUAAAUAAAAAAGAUUUUGAUAUGGAAUCAUUGAACCAGCAUUGACCCAUGCUUUGAAUUUGAGUUAUAAUGGAAAUGUAUGAUCAAAGGUUUAAACUUUAACUAGUGUGACAAAGAAAGGUUGCUGUUUUCAGACAAUGGUCGCAGAGAGAGAGAGAGAGAGAAAGACAUGGGUUUACUGUGUCUCAUUCAGACAACCUUAACAUUGUGUUCUAGACCAGAUCUGGACUAAUAAAGAAACAUUUAUUGAAAAAAACCCAAUAAAAGUUGAACUUUAGUAGAAAAUUUGAAACUUUUUUGAAAACAUUACCAGAUUUAAAGUGAAACCCAUUUCAGAAUCAGAUCUAAUGUAAACAGAUCCGAGAGUAUAGACAAUGUAGAGAAAGAGAAGAGGCUGAGAGAGAGAGAGCAUACAGAGCCAGUCUCCGAGGUAGAAAUGCUUUCCCUGAGCCCAGAUGGUAUAGUUGAUGUUUGGAUUCCAAAACUUGUUCUCGCCGACUGUGUACUUCUUCGCCGUCACUUCCGGCACCGCCACUACAAAGGCCAGUACCACUGCCGCAAUCAACACCGUGAAUCUCGCCAUGUUUUUCUCUCUGUCUUGUCUCUCUCUCACUGUAGACUUGUUAGUUGCGCAACUUGUGAUUUAGAGGUGGACUAGACUAGUGGGUUUUCAUAGGAGCCCAUCUUUUUCCUUUUUUCAACGGCUGUUGCUGUAUAAUGAUAAAUAAAUAAAUAAAUUAUUUUAAAAUAGACUAACCAUAAACAUUAAAUCGAAUUCAGAGAUUAGACCAUCUGCAACAGUGGAUUCGGAAAAAAAAAAAAAAAAAAAGAUUCUUAGGGUUUUUUAAUCAACGAUAAAGUUUUUGUGAAAUUAAAAGAAAUAAUUGAUACUAAAUGUAGGCCCAUUAUAGGCCCAACAAUUAAGUUUGUAAGGUAAGUAAAAGGGAAGAGAAGAAAAUGCGAUUGAUUUGGGAUCAUCUUAGGGUUUUCUUCUCUUCUCUCCAAUCAAUGGCGAUACCUCCAGGACUAUACUCCGGCACCAGCUCCCUUGCUCUCGUAUAUCAUCUCUCUCUCUCUCUCCGAUUCGUUUGUUAUGAGUUUGGUUGAUUAAUCUGAGUCUUUUUGAUCAGGUGGCUCGUGCUUCGGCGUUUAGCGUGGGUCUCCUCUACGGGAGCAUGAAGCUCAAGGUCUUGAAGGUAACACUUUCGAAUUUCUGAUUAGUAGUGCUCGUAUCGGCUAAUUGAAUCUGCAAUACAUUACAUUUUGAUGAUUGUGACGUUUUGAAUUGGUUUGGUGGGCAACAUGAUAUUUCGAAAGUUACCGACUUUGAUCAUAGUUCGGUGUGAAAGGAGCAAAGUUUUGUUAAAUAGGGUUUGACUCUUAGUGUGUCUUGUUGUUGUUGGGUUUAAUGCAACAACAAAAGGUUUACUCUUGUUGUUGUUGCUGCAUUGUGUUGUUGGUUCAUGUUGGCAUUUGUUGACAAUUUUUUUUCUUUUCUGAAGGUGGGUGUCUCUAUGUCUUAAAUGUUCUUGAAUCUUACUGUGUGCUAAGUUACGUACUAACUUAUUGUUUUGUUUUUUUCACCUACAGAUGACAAAGAAGCCACACAAGGUUGAAGCUACUGCUCAUCACUAAACCAUUGUUCUGUCUUUACAAUAAGAAACCAAACGCUUGGGGCGGGGAUGUCUUCCCGCCCUGGUUAGCAAUUUUUUUUUUGUAUGAUUCAUCUUUCAUCAUGAAAAAGGAACUAAUAUACUUCAUAGAUCAUUAAUAAAUUAUUUUCUCAAAUGUCUCAAGAACCUGUAUUGUCCAGCAGCAAUUUGAUCUAUUCACCAGUAAUCAGAACAAGAACAAGAGCCUCCCUUGAACUCUUGAAAUCUAUUUCUAUCUCUGAUGAUGAUUUCUCAGUCAUAGAUCUUUGAAACAAUCUUCAUACAUUUCCUCUGAUUCUUGAAGACAAAGUGGUAUCCUCGGUUUUGUUUCCAUAAGCCAGAAACAGACUGCCAGUUUCUCACUCUGACAUCCUAAAGCUUGCUCGGAGUAACCAUGCCGGAGACAUGAGGGACAUAACCAACUGAUCUAAUCCCUUCAAGUUCAUUCAAAUUAGAGUAGAUAUCUUUCCCUUAUCGAGUGUGACCUCUCACGAACUAAACCAAUACAAUGGCCACAUCCACUCGAGGUUUGAUUAAUGGGCCUAUCAUUUCUAGGCUCUCUCUCGGUCUAUUGAUGGGUCAGAGUAACGCAGCGCCUUUUGAAAGAGCUUACAUUUAAGCUUUAGCAAUACAGUUUCUCUUCACACAUACAAGAAAAAGAAGUUUUUCUUAAGCUUAACAAUAGCCAUUGCAAAGAUACCUACAAUCAUACAAGUUGAAGAUAAUAUUUACUUACAGCUGCAGAUUCUUUUCUUCGAGAACCAGAUGUUUCUGGUUUUAUCCACAUUUGGGCAAUAGAUUAAAAGUCACAAAAUCUAAACCGUCGCUGACAAAGACGUACAAUGAGAAAAACAUGUAUAGAUCAUCGUCCAGAAUCUUCAUUGUCUAUCAAAUCUACAAAUCUCAACGUCCCCACCAGUCAAUAUCAUUUUAAAUAUUCUUAUAGGGUCCAUGUGAAAUCUACUCAUAAUCCUAACUAACAUCCCUCUAAACAAAUAUUUAAAACACACAUCAUAUGAAUAUUCGUAUUUUUGUUUCAUAUUACAAAAAAAAAAAAUUUAAUCUAUUCGAUAAUGAAUCUGACAGCUUUGUGAAAGGGGGUACAUGUGGUGGUUGGAUUUGUUACAAUUCACAGAUAAACCCACAUGGAACAGAUGAGCCAUAAUCCAGAUACACACACUGUUUUUACCAUUAGUUCAACUGAUUCUUCUUCUUUUUCACUGACCAGAUUAGAUUGAUAUUAAACCAAACAAUUACAUACAGCCAAUUCAUUCACUUCCCACAAAAGGAAAAAGAAGGAAGAGAAUUUUCGGAUCUUCAAUGAAAGUUUUAAACCAUUAAUUAAUCUCAAGUAAAUCAAAUUCAACUUUUUUUUCAACAAUUAAUUCAAAGACACAAACAAAACAAAAGAUUAAAACCCAACAAUCCACAUUACAAAACAUAAACUCAACUGAUGAACUUUCUAAAUUAAAAUGCUUUCCCUGAAAAAGAAUUUAAUGUCUCUCAAAUCGAAAAUGGAUUCCAAUGUAAAGAACUCCGAGAUUGGUGGUCAUUACCACAUCCUUAAGAUGGCAUCCCGCAUCGUGGAAACAGAGAAGAGAGCAAACGGAAUCACGAACUGAGCAACACCAGUGGCCAUGGAAACUAAUCCAGUGCUCUUGACAGGUGCCGCUUUUGGUGGAGGAGGUAGCUUCUCUACUUUAACAGCGAGCUUCAUGCCUCCAUAACAGCCACCCUUUCCAUCGAGAAGAUAGUAGUGUUUGGUCACGUUGAGAGUGACAAUGUCUCUCCCAGCUCCACGUGUCCAGUUUACGAGAGGAUGGUCGGCGUUACAG
rnacentral:lncRNA from 1 species